UUGAACGCUGGCGGCAUGCCUUACACAUGCAAGUCGAACGGCAGCACGGGUGCUUGCACCUGGUGGCGAGUGGCGAACGGGUGAGUAAUACAUCGGAACAUGUCCUAUAGUGGGGGAUAGCCCGGCGAAAGCCGGAUUAAUACCGCAUACGAUCUACGGAUGAAAGCGGGGGACCUUCGGGCCUCGCGCUAUAGGGUUGGCCGAUGGCUGAUUAGCUAGUUGGUGGGGUAAAGGCCUACCAAGGCGACGAUCAGUAGAUGGUCUGAGAGGACGACCAGCCACACUGGGACUGAGACACGGCCCAGACUCCUACGGGAGGCAGCAGUGGGGAAUUUUGGACAAUGGGCGAAAGCCUGAUCCAGCAAUGCCGCGUGUGUGAAGAAGGCCUUCGGGUUGUAAAGCACUUUUGUCCGGAAAGAAAUCCUUGGCUCUAAUACAGUCGGGGGAUGACGGUACCGGAAGAAUAAGCACCGGCUAACUACGUG
rnacentral:rRNA from 1 species